rnacentral:lncRNA from 1 species
UGUUAUAGUUUAUUUUUAUUUUAUUUUAUUUUUAUUUUUAAAUUCUUUAUAUUUGAAUUUGAAUUUUAAUUAAUAUAAAAUAUAUUUUUUUGUACUUUAAAUUCUUAUCUUUUAUUUUUUGCAAGUAGAUGCUAGGAUCUAAUUAGUAGAUCUUAAUAUCAAUUUAUUUUAUAUACUUUAAAUUUUUAUUAUUUAUUUUUAUUGUAAGUAGAUGCUAGGAUCUAAAUAGUAG